AUUGAACGCUGGCGGCAGGCCUAACACAUGCAAGUCGAGCGGGGUUUUCGGACCUAGCGGCGGACGGGUGAGUAAUGCGUAGGAAGCUGCCCGAUAGAGGGGGAUACCAGUUGGAAACGACUGUUAAUACCGCAUAAUGUCUACGGACCAAAGUGUGGGACCUUCGGGCCACAUGCUAUCGGAUGCGCCUACGUGGGAUUAGCUAGUUGGUGAGGUAAUGGCUCACCAAGGCGACGAUCUCUAGCUGGUUUGAGAGGAUGAUCAGCCACACUGGAAAGGAGACACGGUCCAGACUCCUACGGGAGGCAGCAGUGGGGAAUAUUGGACAAUGGGCGCAAGCCUGAUCCAGCCAUGCCGCGUGUGUGAAGAAGGCCUUCGGGUUGUAAAGCACUUUCAGCGAGGAGGAAGGGGUUGUAGUUAAUAGCUGCAACCUUUGACGUUACUCGCAGAAGAAGCACCGGCUAACUCUGUGCCAGCCGCCGCGGUAACAC
rnacentral:rRNA from 1 species